UGAUCCUGGCUCAGGACGAACGCUGGCGGCAUGCCUAAUACAUGCAAGUCGAACGAGCUUCCGUUGAAUGACGUGCUUGCACUGAUUUCAACAAUGAAGCGAGUGGCGAACUGGUGAGUAACACGUGGGAAAUCUGCCCAGAAGCAGGGGAUAACACUUGGAAACAGGUGCUAAUACCGUAUAACAACAAAAUCCGCAUGGAUUUUGUUUGAAAGGUGGCUUCGGCUAUCACUUCUGGAUGAUCCCGCGGCGUAUUAGUUAGUUGGUGAGGUAAAGGCCCACCAAGACGAUGAUACGUAGCCGACCUGAGAGGGUAAUCGGCCACAUUGGGACUGAGACACGGCCCAAACUCCUACGGGAGGCAGCAGUAGGGAAUCUUCCACAAUGGACGAAAGUCUGAUGGAGCAAUGCCGCGUGAGUGAAGAAGGGUUUCGGCUCGUAAAACUCUGUUGUUAAAGAAGAACACCUUUGAGAGUAACUGUUCAAGGGUUGACGGUAUUUAACCAGAAAGCCACGGCUAACUACGUGCCAGCAGCCGCGGUAAUACGUAGGUGGCAAGCGUUGUCCGGAUUUAUUGGGCGUAAAGCGAGCGCAGGCGGUUUUUUAAGUCUGAUGUGAAAGCCUUCG
rnacentral:rRNA from 2 species